rnacentral:rRNA from 1 species
GUUUGGUUAAGUUAGAAAGGGCGCACGGUGGAUGCCUUGACACUAGGAGUCGAUGAAGG